AAUUCAUUCACCGAGCGUGCAUCGCCGUACUGCGUCGCUUUGCAUAGUCCUAUGGCUUUGAUCGUCGUCGAUCUCCGACCUAUUAACCCAGGCUCCGCUGGAUCUCGUCGAUCGAUCGUUGGCCUGGAAACGGGAAACGUAUUAUCGCGUGCUUGGGAUUCUUGGGAGACGUACCGCAUCUCUGGAUCUGUGUUCGACCGGGCAGACUGUAGCGAUUCUGAUAUCGGACGGGCAAAGUCGAUGCUUUCGCGAAACGGUAACUUUCCUCGCAUAAACCAUACUCGACGAAGCAGAGAAAUUCACUCGAUACAGUAAUUUCUCUAACGGGGGUGCGGGAAGAAACACUUUUAAUUUGAAAUGAGGCUCCCAAAAACCACUGACCCAAUAAAUAAUCGGCGUACGUUUGGACUCUGAACUCCGAG